CGAACGGGUGAGUAACACGUGGAUAACCUGCCUGGAAGUGGGGAACAACUCAGGGAAACUUGAGCUAAUACCGCAUAUGCUGGCGUCGCGAAAGCGAUUUCAGCAAAGGUGGCCUCUUCUUGAAAGCUAUCGCUUCCAGAGGGAUCCGCGUCUGAUUAGCUAGUUGGUGAGGUAACGGCUCACCAAGGCGACGAUCAGUAGCCGGCCUGAGAGGGUGAUCGGCCACACUGGAACUGAGACACGGUCCAGACUCCUACGGGAGGCAGCAGUGGGGAAUAUUGGACAAUGGGCGAAAGCCUGAUCCAGCAACGCCGCGUGGAGGAUGAAUGCCUUCGGGUUGUAAACUCCUGUCAGGUGGGACGAAAAGAGCUCGGUCAAUAUCCGAGCUCCUUGACGGUACCACCGGAGGAAGCCCCGGCUAACUCCGUGCCAGCAGCCGCGGUAAUACGGAGGGGGCAAGCGUUAUUCGGAAUUAUUGGGCGUAAAGGGCGCGUAGGCGGCAUGACAAGUCAGGGGUGAAAUCCCCUCGGCUCAACCGAGGAACUGCCUCUGAAACUGUCUAGCUUGAGGCCGGGAGAGGGUAGUGGAAUUCCCAGUGUAGCGGUGAAAUGCGUAGAUAUUGGGAGGAACACCGGUGGCGAAAGCGGCUACCUGGACCGGUUCUGACGCUGAGGCGCGAAAGUGUGGGGAGCAAACAGGAUUAGAUACCCUGG
rnacentral:rRNA from 1 species